rnacentral:rRNA from 1 species
AGCAGCCGCGGUAAUUCCAGCUCCAAUAGCGUAUAUUAAAGUUGCUGCAGUUAAAAAGCUCGUAGUUGAAUUUCGGGACCAUCAUGUCGGUCGUGCCUCGGUACGUACUGGCAUUGUUGGUUUCUCCCUUCUGACGAACCAUGAUGUCAUUUAUUUGGUGUUGUGGGAAAUCAGGACUGUUACUUUGAAAAAAUUAGAGUGUUUAAAGCAGGCUCACGCUUGAAUACAUUAGCAUGGAAUAAUGAAAUAGGACGUUUGAUUCUAUUUUGUUGGUUUCUAGGAUCGACGUAAUGAUUAAUAGGGAUAGUUGGGGGCAUUAGUAUUCAAUUGUCAGAGGUGAAAUUCUUGGAUUUAUUGAAGACUAACUACUGCGAAAGCAUUUGCCAAGGAUGUUUUCAUUAAUCAAGAACGAAAGUUAGGGGAUCGAAGACGAUCAGAUACCGUCGUAGUCUUAACCAUAAACUAUGCCGACUAGGGAUCGGAUGAUGUUAAUUUUUAAUGACUCU